rnacentral:lncRNA from 1 species
AAGUAAUCUUUUCUUUGGGAAGAAGCUUCCCAGAGUCUUAUCUUAGUGACGAUGCUCACCUAGGAAGCAGGGAUUAGUAGAGGGCAUUGGACUUGAACUCAGAAGUCCAUGACCUCUAGCAGUCCAGCAACCUCUAGGGCCACAGAGCCUUAAGGAUUCAGCCUUCUCUAACUCCUGGUUUGUUUCAUAUUCUCCCCUCCAUUUGCUCCCAUCUCCCCCUGAUAGUCCUUUUUCAUAUCCUAUUUCCUUUGUCUUCUUCCCCAUUUCCCCAGGAAUACAAGAACUCCUUGAGAAAUGAGGUCACAACCCACUGAAUGUUGAAUCACCUAAUACAGCGUCUGCCUGUGUGUAGUGCUCAGUAAGUACCUAUGCAGUCGAGGAAAAAAGCCGCAGACAAUGAUUAGGUACACAUUUAUUGGCAAUAGCCUUUUCUUACUACUGCUGUAGAGAUUGAGAUCUCCUAGCACAGUGGCUGGUGUGCAGUAAGCAGUCAUUUAGUGGUAGCUGCUUUAACAACAACGAUUAUUUCCACUACCAUUAUUAUUAACCAUUUAUCAUAUGCUGCUUAAUCACCACCUGAAAGAAAACACUUAUGGAAUUCCCAAUCACACCAUCACUAAGUGGCAGAAUUCACACCUAAGACCAUUUGCCACCAAAGCUCAUGCUCUUAGUUCUGCAUCAUUCUGAUUUAUUUGUCAGGUCACUGCCAACUCAAUCAGUCCGUAGAUGGCCCUACAAAGAGCCAAAGGUUCUCAUUUAUGGAUGGUUAUCCUCACCAGCAGGAUGUCAGAGUCUAGAGGCAAGACACCUGGCACCUUCCACGAAUGAAAGGAUGAGGCUUCAAAUGGUUCCAGGCUGCUUACACUCAAUUUAAUCCCUGAGCGAACAGAAAGAAACAAAUAGCAGUCACUAGAAUGCAUGCGGUUGAAAUAAAUGUAUAUUUUGCUUGAGUUAGCAUUUUCUCCCCCAAAUGCUGUAGUGUCAGUUUACUGUACAUGUACUUUUCUCUUUAGAUUUAGUCUAAUCAUGACUAUAUUAAAUCACAUGGAGGCCACUAGUCCAGCAGUGUAGGUUUAGAUUAAAUGUUAAAAUACCACCAGAUUGGGACAAUUUCCUUUUCCUUCAUCUGCUUUUGAACUUCCCUUUUCCUAAGGAGCUGUGAAAGGCAGCUGUCAGGAAAGCUAAGGGUGUGGGUGGACUGGCUAGGCAAAGGGUGCAGAAAGGGAUAAUCAGUCUAUCAGCUCUGCCUACUUCACUAAUUUGGUGACCUCAGACCAGCCAUUGCUUCUCUCUAAGCUUCUGUGUGUCCAGCCAUACCUGAGAAAACUAGUGCCCAGAUGCAGUGAGUUGGGAGUUCACAUUUGCAAAGUAUACUGAAAACCCACAUAAGAGUUAAUAAAAAGGAUUUUAUUACACACACAAAUCUCCAUAUUGUUACAGCCCCUAUUAAGAAGAUAUCAAGACGGGGAGUUCCAUUGUGGUUCAGUGGUUAACGAAUCCCACUAGGAAUCAUGAGGUUGCGGGUUCAAUCCCUGGCCUCGCUCAGAGGGUUAAGGAUCCAGCGUUGCCGUGAGCUGUGGUGUAGGUUUCAGAUGUGGCUUGGAUCUGGCAUUGAGUGGCUGUGGCGUAGGCCAGUGGCUACAGCUCUGAUUUGACCCCUAGCCUGGGAACCUCCAUAUGCUGCAAGUGCAGCCCUAAAAAGACAAAA